CACGUAGGGACCAAGCGUUGUCCGGAUUUAUUGGGCGUAAAGCGCUCGUAGGCGGUUCGGUAAGUCGGGUGUGAAACCUCCAGGCUCAACCUGGUGACGCCACCCGAUACUGCCGUGGCUUGAGUCCGGUAGGGGAGCGUGGAAUUCCUGGUGUAGCGGUGAAAUGCGUAGAUAUCUGGAGGAACACCGGUGGCGAAGGCGGCAUCCUGGACCGGCAUUGACGCUGAGGCGCGAAAGCCAGGGGAGCAAACGGG
rnacentral:rRNA from 1 species